rnacentral:rRNA from 1 species
GACGAACGCUGGCGGCGUGCUUAACACAUGCAAGUCGAACGGAAAGGCCCCUUUGGGGGUACUCGAGUGGCGAACGGGUGAGUAACACGUGAGUAACCUGCCCUUGACUUCGGGAUAACUUCAGGAAACUGGGGCUAAUACCGGAUAGGAAUCCUUGCUGCAUGGUGGGGGUUGGAAAGCUUCGGCGGUUUUGGAUGGACUCGCGGCUUAUCAGCUUGUUGGUGGGGUAGUGGCUUACCAAGGCUUUGACGGGUAGCCGGCCUGAGAGGGCGACCGGCCACAUUGGGACUGAGAUACGGCCCAGACUCCGACGGGAGGCAGCAGGGGGGAAUAUUGCACAAUGGGCGGAAGCCUGAUGCAGCAACGCCGCGUGCGGGAUGACGGCCUUCGGGUUGUAAACCGAUUUCAGCAGGGGCGAAGCUUGUGGUGACGGUACCUGCAGAAGAAGCACCGGCUAACUACGUG